GGGGAGUGGCAGACGGGUGAGUAACGCGUGGGAAUCUACCCAUCUCUACGGGAUAGCUCCGGGAAACUGGAAUUAAUACCGUAUACGUCCUGAGGGAGAAAGAUUUAUCGGGGAUGGAUGAGCCCGCGUUGGAUUAGCUAGUUGGUGGGGUAAAGGCCUACCAAGGCGACGAUCCAUAGCUGGUCUGAGAGGAUGACCAGCCACAUUGGGACUGAGACACGGCCCAAACUCCUACGGGAGGCAGCAGUGGGGAAUAUUGGACAAUGGGCGCAAGCCUGAUCCAGCCAUGCCGCGUGAGUGAUGAAGGUCUUAGGAUUGUAAAGCUCUUUCAGUGGGGACGAUAAUGACGGUACCCACAGAAGAAGCCCCGGCUAACUUCGUGCCAGCAGCCGCGGUAAUACGAAGGGGGCUAGCGUUGUUCGGAAUUACUGGGCGUAAAGCGCACGUAGGCGGAUAUUUAAGUCGGGGGUGAAAUCCCGGGGCUCAACCCCGGAACUGCCUUCGAUACUGGGUAUCUUGAGUUCGGAAGAGGUGAGUGGAAUUGCGAGUGUAGAGGUGAAAUUCGUAGAUAUUCGCAGGAACACCAGUGGCGAAG
rnacentral:rRNA from 1 species